AGAGAGGAUGUGUGCUGCAGGCUCCUGCCUGGGAACUGCCAGAGCACCAGACCAAAUAGGCCAGGUGUGCUGAGACCCAGGUGAAUACCCAGCUGCCUGCAGAAGCCCAUGAGGGGAAGGAGUCAUCGGGAACUUCACCAGCCAACUAUCCCAGAGGACCUGUGGACUACAGCCCAGGAAGACAGGCUGCCAUUACAGACUCUAAUGAGCAGAGAGCAGGAGCAGGAGCAAAGCAGCUCAGUGGAGGAACCACCACAGGCAGCUUGCCCAAGGAGCCAUGCACAGACAGCUCCACUGACAGCAAAAGGAAAAGAGCCAGCAGCAUCACCAUCAAGCAAUGUUGUGAUGUGAAGCCAUAAACAUCCUGUGACGGCACAAGCUGCUGCCUCUGCGGCCUGGAGGGGUGCCCCUCCACACACACUAAGUGACUAACCCUGAGGAGGAGGAGAAAGAUUCAGGAGUAUAUGUUCAGUGAGAUGCUGCAACAGACCAUGAACAGAGGACCUGGAGAGUGAAUACUGAAGAUAGUAUGGAGAAGGAAAGAGUGGACAGGAGAAAGGCCCAGGAGUCCCCUCAGGAAGAGGAAAGGGGCAUGCACCAGAACAUAAUGGGGCUUUUCUGGAACAAACACAAAUGCUGAAGGCUCUUGUGGAGCUACAGGUUCAACAAGCACAGGCUCACCUCCCUUUGCAGUCAAUGGAGAACUCCAUUUUAGCACCACACCUCACCUCACCACAUUCCACGUGGCAUCAAAGGCACAUCCCUACCCCUACCAUUCCAAGCCGGGGGACAGUAAGGA